CGCCGCCCACGCCGGCCAUGUUCCGAUCAUGCCCGCCGCCGCCGUCGAGAGCCCCUGCGCAGCCCAUCUUAUGAACCAAAACACCACCAGGGGGUGCGCGUGGCCCUAGGGAGCGUUGCGGCCCAGUCCCCACCGCCGGAGACCUCGCCGCCGGCGAGCUAGCGCCGUUACCCGCCGGGAAAGCCGCAGUCAAGGUCGGCCUUCUGUUUUUGACCUAGCGGGCCCGCGUGUCCGAGUCUGUGGGUAGGGCGUGGGUGAGUGAGAAAGUUUUUCAGGGGGGGUGGGGAUAAUGAUAGGUUUUCAGUUUGGAGAUAAUAGUUUAAAUUCGUGAUUUCACUAUUUAAUUCACCAGAAAUUGUAGAAAUGUCAAAAAAAAUAGUGAAACCAAUUUUAUUAGGAUUGUUUUAUUGUGAAACUAAUUUUAUUAGGAUUGUUUUAUUUUCCUUUAUGCAUUAAAAAAUUCUUAAACCCUAGGAAAUAUAAUAAAAUUUAGGUAUUUAUUUAAUGCCUUUUUACUAAGGUAUUUAAAUAAAUGCUUAACCUUUAUUAAAUGCAUAAAAUUUUGAAUAAUGUUUUCAUAAUCACAAAUUAUUAUUAAUCCAUAGGAAUUAAGUUUUGAUAUUAGAAAAUUAUUAUAAUACUUUUCUAAAAUAAAAGAAAGGCUUAGAUAGAUUAGUAAGGAAAUUAAAAUUGUGGGUUAAUCUUUAUGGGUAGUUUAGUGUUGGCUUGCAACUUUAUCAUGAAGAUAGGUUGUAUAGUUGUUGGCUUGCAACUUUAUCAUGAAGGAAAGUUGUAUAGUCAUGUGUUCAAAAGUUUGCAUCUCUAACUCCUGCAUGUACUAAAUCAUAGACGUCGAAGCUCCUGAAGUGGAAUUCGUGGAAUUCAUCUGAAGAUUGUCAGAGUUCGAGAAGUGUUGAAGUGCUUCUUUUACUAAAGGGGUUUUCCGAAGGACUAACAUUUGUUGAUCCCAGGCAAGCUCCGGUGCAUUUAAACCCAUCUACUUUCGGAAAUUACUAUUCAUGAGUCCAAUUAAUGGUUAUUUCUUUAUAUGUGCAUUAGGUCUAGGAGUUGAUUGAAAACUUACUUUUAUGCACAAUCCAACCUUGUUAUUAAGGACAUCUUUGCCACCUGUUCAACUAAUUAGUAACUAUCCUAUGCUUAGCAAUGCUUAGAUACCUAUGAGUAACUUUGGUUACUCAACACUAAGGCUAAG
rnacentral:lncRNA from 1 species